AGAGUUUGAUCCUGGCUCAGGACGAACGCUGGCGGUGUGCUUCACACAUGCAAGUCGAGCGAAUGAAGUAGGUAGCUUGCUACUUAUGGAUUUAGCGGCGGACGGGUGAGUAAUAUAUAGGAAUCUGCCUUAGAGCGGGGAACAACAGACCGAAAGGUUUGCUAAUGCCCCAUAGGUAUGCAGUCUUCGGAUUGUAUAUUAAAGGAGUAAUCCACUCUAAGAUGAGCCUGUAUCCGAUUAGCUAGUUGGUGGGGUAAAGGCCCACCAAGGCUACGAUCGGUAGUUGGUCUGAGAGGAUGAUCAGCCACAAUGGGACUGAGACACGGCCCAUACUCCUACGGGAGGCAGCAGUGGGGAAUUUUACACAAUGGGGGAAACCCUGAUGUAGCGACACCGCGUGAACGAAGAAGCCUUUUGGGGUGUAAAGUUCUGUCGGCUGGAACGAAAAAAAUGACGGUACCAGCAAAGGAAGCAUCGGCUAACUACGUGCCAGCAGCCGCGGUAAGACGUAGGAUGCAAGCGUUGUCCGGAUUUAUUGGGCGUAAAGAGUUCGUAGGCGGUUAUUUAAGUCUGAUGUUAAAUACUGUGGCCCAACCACAGAACUGCAUUGGAUACUGGAUGACUUGAGUGCGGUAGAGGCAAGUGGAAUUCCCAGUGUAGCGGUGAAAUGCGUAGA
rnacentral:rRNA from 1 species